CAGCAGCAGCCGCGGGAAUACAGAGGGUGCGAGCGUUAAUCGGAUUUACUGGGCGUAAAGCGUGCGUAGGCGGCUAAUUGAGUCGGAUGUGAAAUCCCCGAGCUUAACUUGGGAAUUGCAUUCGAUACUGGUUAGCUAGAGUGUGGGAGAGGAUGGUAGAAUUCCAGGUGUAGCGGUGAAAUGCGUAGAGAUCUGGAGGAAUACCGAUGGCGAAGGCAGCCAUCUGGCCUAACACUGACGCUGAGGUACGAAAGCAUGGGGAGCAAACAGGAUUAGAUACCCCGGUAGUCCCUGUCUCUUAUAC
rnacentral:rRNA from 1 species